rnacentral:rRNA from 1 species
AGCGAACGCUGGCGGCAGGCUUAACACAUGCAAGUCGAGCGGGCAUCUUCGGAUGUCAGCGGAAGACGGGUGAGUAACACGUGGGAACGUACCCUUCGGUUCGGAACAACUCUGGGAAACUGGAGCUAAUACCGGAUACGCCCUUAUGGGGAAAGGUUUACUGCCGAAGGAUCGGCCCGCGUCUGAUUAGCUAGUUGGUGGGGUAACGGCCUACCAAGGCGACGAUCAGUAGCUGGUCUGAGAGGAUGAUCAGCCACACUGGGACUGAGACACGGCCCAGACUCCUACGGGAGGCAGCAGUGGGGAAUAUUGGACAAUGGGCGCAAGCCUGAUCCAGCCAUGCCGCGUGAGUGAUGAAGGCCUUAGGGUUGUAAAGCUCUUUUGUCCGGGACGAUAAUGACGGCACCGGAAGAAUAAGCCCCGGCUAACUUCGUG